rnacentral:rRNA from 1 species
GCGAGUCGAACGGUGAAGCCCAGCUUGCUGGGUGGAUCAGUGGCGAACGGGUGAGUAACACGUGAGCAACCUGCCCCUGACUCUGGGAUAAGCGCUGGAAACGGCGUCUAAUACUGGAUACGAGACGUGAUCGCAUGGUCAACGUCUGGAAAGAUUUUUCGGUUGGGGAUGGGCUCGCGGCCUAUCAGCUUGUUGGUGAGGUAAUGGCUCACCAAGGCGUCGACGGGUAGCCGGCCUGAGAGGGUGACCGGCCACACUGGGACUGAGACACGGCCCAGACUCCUACGGGAGGCAGCAGUGGGGAAUAUUGCACAAUGGGCGGAAGCCUGAUGCAGCAACGCCGCGUGAGGGAUGACGGCCUUCGGGUUGUAAACCUCUUUUAGCAGGGAAGAAGCGAAAG